CAACAGAAAUCUACUCUCACAGUUCUGGAGGCCAGAAGUCUAAACUCCAUACUGCUCAGCUGUGCACUGGCUGCGGGCUUCAGGGGAGAAUCCGUUUCUGGUCUUUUCCAGCUUCUGGUGGCCAGCAGCAUUCCUUGGCUCGUGGCUGCAUCACUCCAGUCUUCAAGGCCAGCAUGUUCAAAUCUCUCUCUGCUCCAUCUUCACACGGCCUUCUCCUCGGUGUGUCUAAUGUCCCUCUGUCUCCCUCUUACAGAGAUACCUGCAUUGGCCAGAUGCAGUGGCUCACACCUGUAAUCCCAGUGCCUUGGGAGGCUGAGGCGGGAGGAUCACUUGGGGCCAGGAAUUCAAGAUCAUGCUAGGCAACAUGGCCACCUCCUCCAUCCCCCUUGGAGACUGAAAAAGGGGAACUCGAAAGAAAAACUGAAAAUUUCAGACCGAGCUACAGCGCAGGAGACCAUGCUGUCAUCCUGAAGCAGAGGCUGGGGACACCACCAAGAGGAUCACAGCAUCCUCCAGGGUUCACUGACGCCACUGACCCAGGUUUUCUUUUCUUUAUUUUAUUUUAUUUUUUUUUAAUAGAGAUCAGAAUCUUGCUAGGUUGCCCAGGCUGAUCUCAAACUCCUGAGCUCAAACAAUCCUCCCACCUCAGCCUCCUAAAGUGCUGGAAUUACAGGCUUGAGUCACUAUACCAGGCCUGACCAGGAACUUUCUUCCUCCCCUCAUUUGAACUUUCUUAGCUCCCACUCAAGUCUAAAUGCUACGUGGUAUCCUUGGAACUCCUAAUUCCUAAUUUUUCAGGAAGUGAAAUGAUAUUCUUAAAGUAAAAACCAAAAUCUGCUUUUGCUUGAUUCUUUGAAUUUACUGUAUUUAUAUGCCAUAUAUACAUAUAUAGAGAGAGAGACAGAAAAAAGUACAUAUAGAUAUACAUGCACAUAUGUACACACACACACAUCAGAUUGUGGUAGCUUUUGGAAACUCUCUGAGGCACAGAAAAUAAGUUGCCUGACAAGACAUCAAAGAAUUGCAAAAGAGGCCACAGCCCCAAAGGCCUUACUGACUGCUUUGUGAUUUGUAGCAUGACAACUGAUAAGCAUCUAUUGGCUUCAGUAAAUAGAAGUUGAAUCAUAACAUUUGUUCCAGGAAACAGUAACUGAAGUCACAAAUCAUAAAUAAUAAAGCAUGAAAAAUCUUCUUUUAGUCUAAUGGACUAAAAGAUUUCUUGCUUUUUUCAUUUCUGCUAAUGGCCUCUCUCUCUUGGCACUGCCAGAGCUGGCCCAUUAAAGGUGAAUUGAGCCUCAGUUUGCAGGCAGGACGUGGUCCAAAAGAUCAUUUGUAAGUUGGUUGUGUGGACCAAAGAAUGUGUUUUCCCCUAGAAACCAUUUUUCUCAGGGUGACUGGGUUCUCAGGGUCGCUUGCACAGUGCUGUUCAACUUCUACUGAAGCUGAGCUCUGGGUCUUUGAGGGCAGGUUCUCUGCAGUGCAGGAGGGAGAAAUCAGGUCACCUGCUGCUUCUUUGCAUAGAGCCCUGGCUCUGAGCACAAUUUAAGCAUAAGUUUUCUUUUCUACGUUCUCAACUCCCUUUUGGUGUCCAGGUCCAGGGCCCUAGUCCCUGGAUUGCAGCACCCUCUCCUAAUGUACUUUACCCACCUCUGGGCUGCUUGCCUGCUGAGGCGGGCCUGGGACCCCAAAUUACCCAUUUAUUCCUGCUUCCUGACCAAUCAGACUUUCAUUCCCUUAGGGCGGUUGAUAUCAGCUAAGGGCCAGCAGGGAAAGCAAAAGGAACAGAUAUGAAUUCACACUAGUAGGUGAAUCAUAGAGAACCUCUUAACCCUCUUAAUACCUUCUCAUGUUAAAAAGAAUUAGUUGUGGGACUUGAGAGUCCUUGUCAGGCAGUAUGGGUCAGGGAUGAACAAGGUGACUAAGGAUUCAUUUUCACGCACACAUUAGUGGGAUUCUUAGCCUCUUUACUGCACCUGCUUCCAGAACACUGGCAGUCAGUCAGGAAACGAU